rnacentral:misc_RNA from 1 species
AACAUACAGGGCAUCAUCCGGGAGCGGGUAACCGUGGAGAAAGCCGUAGUAGAGGAAGAAGAAAAAAUCAAAGACACCAAAGCCAUUGCCGAAGCAGAUCGUCUGAAGGCGGUAGCCAUCAAAAAUGCCGAGAAAGAAGCAGAAGAAGCGUUGGUGAAGGAGAUAAAAAGUGCCGAAGCUGCCCGUCAGGCUGCCGAAUUCCGUGCCAAGCAAAUGCUGAUUGAUGCGGAAGCAGAGCAGGCAUCUGCCAACAACCGGGCUCAGGCUAUAAAAGU